UACGUAUGGUGCAAGCGUUAUCCGAAUUUACUGGGUGUAAAGGGAGCGCAGGCGGCACGGCAAGCCUGAUGUGAAAGCCCGCGGCCCAACCGCGGGACUGCAUUGGGAACUACCGGGCUGGAGUGCCGGAGAGGUAGGCGGAAUUCCUAGUGUAGCGGUGAAAUGCGUAGAUAUUAGGAGGAACACCAGUGGCGAAGGCGGCCUACUGGACGGUGACUGACGCUGAGGCUCGAAAGCGUGGGGAGCAAACAGG
rnacentral:rRNA from 1 species